rnacentral:tRNA from 1 species
UCCCUAGUGGCUUAGAUGGUAAAGUGUCUGCCUACAAUGCGGGAGACCUGGGUUCGAUUCCUGGGUUGGGAA